GAUCCUGGCUCAGGACGAACGCGGCGGCGUGCUUAACACAUGCAAGUCGAACGAUGAAGCCUCGGGGUGGAUUAGUGGCGAACGGGUGAGUAACACGUGGGCAAUCUGCCCUGCACUCUGGGACAAGCCCUGGAAACGGGGUCUAAUACCGGAUAACCGCCGAGGCAUCUCGGCGGGUGGAAAGCUCCGGCGGUGCAGGAUGAGCCCGCGGCCUAUCAGCUUGUUGGUGAGGUAGUGGCUCACCAAGGCGACGACGGGUAGCCGGCCUGAGAGGGCGACCGGCCACACUGGGACUGAGACACGGCCCAGACUCCUACGGGAGGCAGCAGUGGGGAAUAUUGCACAAUGGGCGAAAGCCUGAUGCAGCGACGCCGCGUGAGGGAUGACGGCCUUCGGGUUGUAAACCUCUUUCAGCAGGGAAGAAGCGAGAGUGACGGUACCUGCAGAAGAAGCGCCGGCUAACUACGUGCCAGCAGCUACGUAGGGCGCAAGCGUUGUCCGGAAUUAUUGGGCGUAAAGAGCUCGUAGGCGGCUUGUCACGUCGGGUGUGAAAGCCCGGGGCUUAACCCCGGUGCAUUCAUACGGGCAGGCUAGAGUUAGGGGAGUGGACUGAAAUGCGCAGAUAUCAGGAGGAACACCGGGGCGAAGGCGGGCCAUGCG
rnacentral:rRNA from 1 species